AAAAUUUUAAGUUAAAUAAACUAAUAGCCUUCAAAGCUUUAAUUAUAAAUAAAUUUAUAAAUUUUA
rnacentral:tRNA from 1 species